ensembl:lncRNA
AUGUCCUCAGACUCAGGAAUGCAUUCCUUCCAGGACCAGCAGACAUCUGUCAUCAUCGGGUCUCCUUAGCAACCUUUGUGUUUUAUGUACCCACAAGUGACCGCUGACACAGUUCCCUUCUAGGAGCUACACACAGAGCUGCCAUUGCCGGGGGAUUAGAAAAUUUUGGUGCUGUUGUUAUUCUUCUCUCCUAACUCCCUGCCUGACCUCUCACUCUCUUUUUCUUCAGCAUGUCCAGGCUGCCCUCUCACCCUCACUAUCAGCCAAUGCUUUGGAAAACCAUCAUGAUCUGAAAAUCAGAUGUCCAGUGGUCUCACCCCUGCAAGAUUAAUUUCUCCAUUUCCUCAAUUAACACCAAUUGAUGAGCACUGAACCAGGUUUCAAACUGAAUAUAGUCAGUCCUCUGUAUCUGAAAAUUCCACAUUUAUGGAUUUUUAAAAAUUCCAGAAAGUUCCAUUUUAUACAAGGGACUUGAGAAUCUGCAGAUUUUAAUAUCCACAGAAAGUCCUGGAAGUAAUCUGCCAAGGAUACCAAGGGACAACUGUACAAGCAGAAGCAGAUUUGCCAUGAAGCUAAUGAAGGGUUCGUUCCUAUUGCCUUCUGGUUCUCCCAUCUGAGAACCAGCAUCGCCCAUCAUGUAAUUUUUCGACUGUUCCCCAACAGCGUGGAUGUGGGGACCAGCCUUCUGAAAUGCUGCUGCAAAGUUCUUUGUAGAGAAACGCACCUCCAUGUCUCAGCUCUCUGUAAUUCAAUAACUUUGAACAUUUUGGUUCACUUCAUUCUGAUUUUAGAAUCUAGAAAUGCAAUGGAAGACAUUUCAAAGCUGGGCAUUUGGUCUUCUGUUGCAAGAGCGCAGUAGCACCCCCAGAGAAAUAUUUUUCAAGGCUGCAGAG